GCCGCUUCCAAGCCCCGCCCUCCAUGUUUGCUCCGCCCCUUCCCGCCAUUUCGGACUCUAACCGGCUCUGUCCGUAAAAGUAGUGUCUUGGUGUCUGUCUGUCCUUCCUUCUUGCCGCUGGGGGAGAGGCUCCUGGUGACACAGCUCACCCAGAGGGCCGAAGUGAGUCUGGAGGUGUGUGGGUCCACCGGCAAAGUAUCUAAAAAACGCACACCUGGCUUUUCUCCUUCUUGUUACUAUGCUCUUAAUAGCAAAAAAUUGCCGCUUCCCUACUUCCUACAAACUCUGGUGGGAGGAUCACCUAGCCUACACACAGCCACAGGUGAAGAUUUUAUGGUAAGAACCUCAGAGAUCUGCCCACAGCUUUCUUCUGAUCAAAGUGACUCUGAAGACGUUUGGGUCCUGCAGUUGGAACUUAUUUCUAUGGAGCUAAUAUGACAGUUCAUGGCAAGCAGAUCCUUUUAUAAUUGUGCUCUAUUCAAAGAGUAUUAAGUCAGUUCAUAGACACCUAGAGGCAAUGCCAGUUAAGGCACGAUCCUUCCUUCUGUGUCAGUGUGUGAAACCUUGUCCCAGUAAGCCAGAGGUUGUGUGGAUCAGAGAAGUGCAGGGCAGGACAGGACAUCUGAUUCAUCCUUGGUACAGGCAACAAGUACAGAAGUAAAAAGCCUUUGUAGCUGAAAUAGGAGGGUCAGACAUUCAAGGUCACCUGUGUGGCUUAGCUUAGACUCUAUGAGACCCUGUCAAAAAGCAAAACACGAGGUGGAGA
rnacentral:lncRNA from 1 species